GUUCACAGCCAUACCACUCAGGACACAUCCAAUGUCAUCCGACCCUGGAAGCCAAGCAGGGUCAGGCCUGGCUAGGUACAGCCCAACCAGUUGUCCCUAGAUUUGGAACUCUCAUGGCUGGGCAGGUGCAGUGGCCU
ensembl:rRNA 5S_rRNA 5S ribosomal RNA